rnacentral:rRNA from 1 species
AUGGUGCUGGCUGAAAGCUUUUACAACCUUACAAGCAAUUUCAGGAUUGGAUUGCCACGUUACUUUCCUCUUCCUCUUUGCGAUUCCUCCUCAACGGGUUGCCCGUGCCUUCUAUCAAACAUGGCCGAGGGCUUUGAUAAGGGGACCCCCAUUCUCCGCCUUGCGAUUGACCCUCUCCCUCAAAUCCUCGACCUUGCAACUAGUAAAGGCAUUAGACAUAAGAUUCGAGGACGUGGCGCCAUGGUGUGUACAUUCCUCUAUGCGGACGACACGACCAUUUUUAUGGCUCCAAUUAAGAGGGGCAUGGAAAACCUCUCGGCCAUCUUAAGGGUUUGGCGAUGUGACAGGCCUUUGCACCAACUUCCGUAA